rnacentral:rRNA from 1 species
AUGGGAUGGUCCACCUCAACGCCGCCGGGCAUGGGCGUGGCUGCCCUAGACCACGCCGUCACGGCCACACCAGCAGCGCGCAAGAAUCAAGGAGCAGCGGCCACUAGCAACGACUCCAACUCCCCAACAGCCAGCCGCUACCACCGCCUCGAGGUGCUCGGCACCGGGACAUUCGGCGUCGUCUACCGCGUGAGGGACCGGCGCACGGGAGAGAUCGCGGCGAUGAAGUGCCUGCGGACGAACGGCGCUCACGGCCGCGACGUCGACCGCUACCUCUCCGACUUCGCGAGCGAGGUCAGCGCCCUCGAGGCGUGCAGCGGCCACCCAUCCAUCGUGCAGCCGCGCGCCUCCGGCCACCUCCGCGGCGAGGCCUUCCUCGCCAUGGAGUUUGUGGGGCCAACUCUCAGACACGUCAUCAAGCAUGUCCGCUUCGGGAGGAGGCACACCGAGCUGGAGGUUCGCCUGCUCAUGAGGCAGCUUUGCGCCGGCGCACGGAGGAUGAAUCGUCUCGGCCUCAUGCACCGCGACCUCAAGCCGGAGAACGUGCUUGUCGACGGCCGUGGGAACCUCAAGAUCUGCGACCUGGGGUUAUCGUGCAGCAUGGCCGAUGGGCCGCCUUACUCCAACCCCGUCGGGACACGGGGAUACCGCGCGCCGGAGCUUCUCCUCGGAUGCACGGAUUAUGAUGAGCAUGUCGACUCUUGGGCUCUUGGCGUCAUGAUGGCCGAGCUCCUCGCCGGCAAGCACCCUUUUCAUGGGAGGUCAGACACGGAGCACCUCAGCGAGAUCUUGGCCCUUCUUGGCAUGGCUGACAUCAAAGAGUGGUCGGGAUACGACGGGCGCCGUUUGCCCAGGGGAUGCCAACCAGAAAGCUUUCUGCGCAACAAGUUCCCAUGUCCCGCUGAGGCCAGGAUCAAAGGCCCGCCGACAUUGUCGGAGGCUGGUUUCGAGGUCUUGAGCGGUCUUCUACGAUGCAACCCGGAGAAGAGGCUCACGGCAGAGCAGGCGCUCAAGCAUCGGUGGUUCAAGGAAGCCAACCCGAGAGCUACAAGGAGCUGA